AAAAGGUAUUACAUACCAGAUAAAAAGAUAGAAGCCAGGCUGAACAUUGUGAUCCUACAGCAGAUAUGCCAAGUGCUUCCUCAUGAAAUGGAUAGUAGUGUCGCUGAUGAAAAAAGUAGAUCGGCCAAUCUAGGUAGCAUCAGAAGUGGUCUCCAUCAGAAAGUAAACUGCCUAAUGCCAUCUUCCGAGAAGGCUGGACAUGCAAAAAUUGACAAGAAAGUAGUGUUGGACAGUUCGCUCUUCAACAAUGAAUAAAUUCAUUUUAUUACUGUAUAGCCAUGGUGGCAAUCUUUUUCGGAUAACAAGAAACAAUUUGCUCAAAUAAUCUCAGCAGAGAUAACAUUGCGGUCUAUCAGGAAAAAAAGUUAGCUAUUUAAUUAAAUAGAAAACUCUGUCACUCAUUGCAACAGAUGCUAAACAAUUAGACUAACUGACAGAAAAGUAUAUAUAGAGUAGUUACAUUUCUUUAUUCCAAAAACAGAUGAUGGAUGUUAAUCGUACAAGAACACGAGGAUGACGAACAUAAAUUGAUCACAUAUAUUAUCACCACGGGUCGAUUUAAUUGGUGGUAAUUUUUCUUUGCGAUGGAAACAAAGUGGAAUCAAAUGAUUCAAACAACCAAAAGAAAGGGAACAAAGGAUGCUUACGGAGCUGAAUGAGUCAGGGUGCUCUACUACUGAAUUGCAAGUAAUAAUAGGUAGAUCCAGCGACUCAGUGGCAGAUGUUAAUCGACCCCACAAUGUCAGGCAGCCGCCCUUUCUUUGCCCGGAAGUCACCACUGAAAUUACAGCAAGAAAUAUGAAGUAAUUUGUAUCUUCCAUGUUGGGGCUGUACCAGUGCAUUGACUCCGUCAAUGCACCAACCUGGAAGAAGAAGAACUGUUUGUGGAGUGGGGAAUUUCUUUUCUGAGGAGAAAAAUGUUUAGUACGUCUCUAAGUUACUGAACUGUCCCCCUAGACAAAGAUGAGUUUAAUAUUGCCCGUUGACACAGAGAAGGCCUACUAUCACAUACCGCUUAUUGGACUGUCUAACAUUAGUCUCAUUCCAAAGCCCACAUAUCCAGCAAAGAAGCUUACAUCAAAGAGAAAGCUACAAAUUGGAUGAUUGGUCUCUAUGAAAUUGAUGUUAUACUUAUUUUAUUUUCGAAAAGGGGAUUACCCCAGCCUCUGCAUCAAAUGAUGCACACAGCCGUGCCAUAUUAUUAAACAUAAAUCAAGUUCCAGUCAGCAAGUUCCAGACUUAUUUCAUCAAGUAGUUUUCUUCUAUUUGAACUCAAUUUCUUCAAUUGCUCUGAGCCGUGAGCUUAUAUUAGCCGGGAGCUCAUAUAUAUUUGGCGUUGUGAACUCAUUUUAGUUUUAUUUAUGAAAUCAUUAUGUGAACUCCUUACUUUUUUUGGGAGAUGUGAAUUCAGAUUCAUCUAUGAAUCAUGGUUGAAGAGUCCCUUGCCAAUGUACGAAGGUCUACAUACGUGUGCCACUUCUACCUACAAUUCCAUUGCUGCUUUUGAAUAAGAUACAACAAGUGCAACAAAACAGAUUGCAGCAAGUAGCUUAUGGACUGAAAUUUGCAAUAUUACUCAUUUGUCAUAUUGUCGCUCAUUUGAUCCUGGCUGUGAAACUAAACGUGACAUGCUAUUCUUCAUGUAAUUUCCAAAUCGCAAUCCAUAAUCAAGCAAAAGAUUACAACAAACGUGACUUACAUGUUGCUUGCAUUCAACAUCUUCAGGACCUACACACGCAUCCAUCUCCUCCUCCGGCCGCUGCUGCCAUCACGCCACUUGCUCAGGACCUGCACAAGGCAUCGUCUUCUCUUAAGCACCACCCUCUCCACUAAAACACUUCUCUAGCAGGGGAGGGCGAGUUGCGCCAAUGAGCCGAGGGGAUGGCAAGCACCCGCAGAGAGCUGCGCUAUCACGCGCAGGCGUGGGGGAGAACCCGCAGCGAGCUGCGGUAUCUAGCGCAGGCAUCCGCGAGGCGAGGACGAACUGCGCCGGCGCCUGCAGACGUGGACGAGAACCGGCAGCGAGUCGCAGUGGCUCGCUCGGGCAUCAGCGUGGGUGAGCACCGUCAGGGAGCUACGGUUGCUCGCACAGGCGUGGGCAAGCUAGGGCGGAGAGCUGCUGUGGCUUGCGCUGGCAGCGGUGAGGUUCGACGACGAGCAACCCGUGACGACAAGAGCGAGGUAGCCUGAGAGCAAUCCUUAUCCAACCAGUCCACACGCAUCAGAUAAGGUUAGAUAGGAUCAGGGGCACUUUGGUCUUUCAGGUGCCUAGAAAAUGGAAAAGAAAAAGGGAAAGUAAU
rnacentral:lncRNA from 1 species